rnacentral:rRNA from 1 species
CCUAACACAUGCAAGUCGAGCGAACCCCUCGGGGUUAGCGGCGGACGGGUUAGUAACGCGUGGGAACGUGCCCAAAGGUACGGAAUAGCAUCGGGAAACUGGUGGUAAUACCGUAUGUGCCCUUCGGGGGAAAGAAUUUCGCCUUUGGAUCGGCCCGCGUAAGAUUAGGUAGUUGGUGAGGUAACGGCUCACCAAGCCUACGAUCUUUAUCUGGUUUGAGAGGAUGAUCAGAAACACUGGGACUGAGACACGGCCCAGACUCCUACGGGAGGCAGCAGUGGGGAAUCUUGGACAAUGGGCGCAAGCCUGAUCCAGCCAUGCCGCGUGAGUGAAGAAGGCCUUAGGGUUGUAAAGCUCUUUCAGGGGUGAGGAUUAUGACAGUAACCCCAGAAGAAGCACCGGCUAACUUCGUGCCAGCAGCCGCGGUAAUACGAAGGGUGCAAGCGUUGUUCGGAAUCACUGGGCGUAAAGGGCGUGUAGGCGGAUGGACAAGUUAGAGGUGAAAGCCCCGGGCUCAACCUGGGAACUGCCUUUAAAACUGUUCAUCUAGAAUCUGGGAGGGGAGUGUGGAAUUCCUAGUGUAGAGGUGAAAUUCGUAGAUAUUAGGAAGAACACCGGUGGCGAAGGCGACACUCUGGACCGGUAUUGACGCUGAGGC